UAGUAAUCGUGGAUCAGCAUGCCACGGUGAAUACGUUCCCGGGUCUUGUACACACCGCCCGUCACACCAUGGGAGCCGGUAACACCCGAAGUCAGUAGUCUAACCGCAAGGGGGACGCUGCCGAAGGUGGGGCUGGUGAUUGGGGUGAAGUCGUAACAAGGUACC
rnacentral:rRNA from 1 species